rnacentral:rRNA from 1 species
UACGGGGGGGGCAAGCGUUGUUCGGAAUUACUGGGCGUAAAGGGCUCGUAGGUGGCCAACUAAGUCAGACGUGAAAUCCCUCGGCUUAACCGGGGAACUGCGUCUGAUACUGGAUGGCUUGAGUUUGGGAGAGGGACGCGGAAUUCCAGGUGUAGCGGUGAAAUGCGUAGAUAUCUGGAGGAACACCGGUGGCGAAGGCGGCAUCCUGGACCAACAUUGACGCUGAGGAGCGAAAGCUAGGGGAGCAAACGGG